GCUUUAAUUAUGAGGUUGUCGCGUCUGCAAAGUUUGGACUAACUCUGCAACCAUUCAAGUCCAGUCACACGGCACACUAUGAUGCUAAAUGCCCCAUCGCCAUGCGCUGACAUUCCAGAACAGAAAGAGAGAGAGAGUGUGUGUGUGUGUGUGUGUGUGUGUGUGUGUGUGUGUAUCUGUGUGCAUACUAAAAUCCCUUUCUCUGAACAACUUUGAGAAUUUCAGAUCUUUUUCAUUCCUCUCCGUUACAACACUGUCUCUGGGUGAGCUACAGUAGGCUGGGCUGUGUGUGUGUGUGUGUGUGUGUGUGUGCAGACUACAGUGGGCUGGGCUGUCGUGUGUGUGUGUGUGUGUGUGUGUGUGUGUGUGUGUGUGUGUGUGUGCAGACUGCAGUGGGCUGGGCUGUCAUGGCUAAUGUGUGCAGACGCGGGGAAAUUCAUUUGGCAUCAUUGAUAUUGCUUUUCUAUACCCGCAAGUGUCUCUGAAAGUAUUUGAGUUUAUUCCUUUUAGACUCCACUGUUUGUUAAUUAAGAAUGUACUCAACGAUCCAUCACCUGAGGAGGACUAUCAAUCUCCAGUCUGUUUCCAUGACAGUCAGAACGAGCGAGUGUCUUCUCCUCAGGACCGUCAGCUCAUACAGUUAUCCAGAAGGCAUCAUCUGAAGCGCCACGGCUGGUGAGAGUAGUGAGGGCUCGCUCAGCUGUGUGUGUGUGUGUGUGUGUGUUUUUGUGUAUGUAGUAGUGAGGGCUCGCUCAGCUGUGUGUGUGUGUGUGUGUGUUAGUGAGGGCUCGCUCAGCUGUGUGUGUGUUUGUGUUUGUGUGUGUGUGUGUGUGUGUAUGUAGUAGUGAGGGCUCGCUCAGCUGUGUGUGUGUGUUUGUAUGUGUGUGUGUGUGUAUGUAGUAGUGAGGGCUCGCUCAGCUGUGUGUGUGUGUGUGUGUGGUAGUGAGGGCUCGCUCAGCUCAUCAUGGAGAGAAUGAGGAACCCCACAGCCAACACACAAGGAGAGGCAGGGAGAGGAAAGGGCCUUUGUGAGCUGUCACCGUAAAGUGUGC
ensembl:lncRNA